UACGGUGAAUACGUUCCCGGACCUUGUACACACCGCCCGUCGAGCCAUGGAAGCUGGGUGUACCUAAAGUCGAUAACCGUAAGGAGUCGCCUAGGGUAAAACUAGUAACUGGGGCU
rnacentral:rRNA from 1 species